CUUUUCAGGGAGUCCAGUCACAGGAAUUGUGGCAGAACAGGGGCAAAUGAGUUGUUUGAACAAACAUUUAGGCUGAAGUUCAGCAUACAGUCAGGUAAUAUUGAAUGUAUGUUUAGAACCAUUGCUGAAUCACCCUUAUCUAAUGCUCUUUGGGAUGAUUAAUUGGCAUGUUGACUUUUGAGGACCAUGUUUAUGAAUGAAAUUACGCACCAUUUUUAUAACUCUUUAAUUAGUAGUUGGGAGAAAGCCCUGCUUUCCCUGAGGAUGGUUCAGCUAACCUUUUGGUAUUAUGCACUCAAAAUUUACACUUCCCUAUUAAAAUUGCCAUUUUAUUAAAUAUCCUUUAAUAAGGAUUCCUUAUUGAACCUUCUUGAGGGUUGUCCCCCACCCCACCCUUAAAUUUAAGGGAGAUCUUGGAGACAGGACAUCAUGAAAGGAACACAGACACACUGGUAGCUGAUUUUCCUUGCACGGGUGUGCAAAAGCUGUGCACAUGCUCAAAUGUUUGCCCUGGGCACUUUUGCUUGCAGUCAGAGAAAUUGGGCAGAUGCCUUGCACAUUUUCAUGCAGCAAAUCAUGAGACCUAUAUGUCCAAAGUGUUCAAAAUAUUUUGCCAUAGCAAAUGGAAUGCAGUGUAUGGCUCUUCCCUGAAAUGUGUGUUCGUGCAUUGACAAUGCCAGACUAUCAGUGUAAGGGGGGGAAAUACGAGUUAGAUUUGCUGUUCAUAAUAUACAAUGUAUAGAUUAGAGUUUAAAAUGGAUCUAAUCCAUAUAUAAAACUGUGUGACUUUUUUCUAAGCAACCAGGAAUUAACAUCUGUAAUGAGGUUUUUCACUGUGAACAAAGUGAUGGUGAUGGUUGUCACCAACUGUUGAGGAAACACAUAUUGAUGCAGAGGCAUUAAGAAAAUAACUUGGUGAAGGAAUUUUCAACACGCUUCCCCUCUUCUUCCCCCUCCCCUCCUUAGCAUCUUUUGUGUUGUAAAAUUAAGCUACAGUUAAUAACAGCUAUUAUUUUGGAUAACAUUCAUUGGCUAACAAUAAAGAGACUACAGUUCAUUCUUCUGAGAUCCAUUGUUGUUAUUUAAUCUCAUCUUUCCCAAGCAAAAUUGUUCGGUUUUGCUGGAAAAAAAAAUCACAAUUUGCUUAAGACUAGUGAAUGGAUGUCUGGAACACAGCUGACAAAUCUUGUAAUGGGAAUUCAUUUAAAAUGUAAGCAGAAAUGGCACUCCUAUGGAGGGAGGGGGCACUAACUGCUCACUACAGAUACAAGGAAAAAGGGUAAUUGCAGGUUCUAAAAAAAGGAAUCACUGGCACAGAAUUCCUGUUGAGGACGAAGAGCUUAUUUAGGCAGCAGGUGUUCAUAUGACAAAAAUUGAGGUUUUUUCCUUGAUGUAUGCCCCAUGUAUGUGACAUGGAGUUGCAUGAGUAGCAUAAGAUCUCACUGCUAGCAUCACACACAGAUUUGAGAGGGAGCUCAUUUGAACAUCAUUGACUUAAUGUUGCAUGUAAAAUGGGACUUCACUUGUUCGUGUGUGUUUUUUAAGCUAUGUAAUUUGAGAAAUCAAGAAUGCCCAAAAUAUUUUUUCCUUUUCAUAUAUGCAAGCUGGUCUGGAACAUAGGAAGUUGCCUUCUACUUACUCUGACCAUUGGUCCAUCCUGCUCAGUAUUUUCUACACUGCCUUUGCAGAGCACUGUCCUAGUUGGAGAUUGAACUUGGAACCUUCUGCAUGCAAAGCAGAUGCUCUAUCACUGAUCCGUGUCCCGUCUCAUGCUCGUCUGUUUUGUAAUACAUCAACAAUUCUCAAGUCCUUGCAGUCUGAGUGAACAAAUUAAAGCCGUUCACCAUAGUUGUGACUUGAUUCUGUUCCCCAGGUAGUGUGCAGGAGGACUCCAAAAUAGGACUUUUCUACUGCCUAGGAGAUGCAGAGGGAGCACAGGAUGUAAAGCUGAAUACUGGGAAGUUCCCUAAGGCUGCUCCAGUCCAACCCCCCCCCCACUUGUUUGCAGAACAAGCAGUCCAUUUGGCUGUCCUGCACUGAUCAUUGAGCUAGCCAAGGCACUGGCUUUUAUAGCUGAGACUCAUCUUGGAUUCAUUUUAGUUCACUGCCAGGGCCCCGGCUGGUGGCCAGCAGUAGCAAGGCAACUAUUUGGCUCAGUCAAUGGACAAGAGAGAAAAAUAAAUGAGGCUGAAGAUAAUGAUGAUGAUGGAGGUUGUAGCACUAGACUAGAUUUUCCACAGGCAGUCUUCAAACAGAAAACCACUACACAUACAAAACAGGCAUGCAUACAUUUCUAUGGCCCUUUGUGCAGUGUAUUUGUUUAUCAUUGUGGACCAUUGUGCGUAGGUUUUCGUUGUUCAGAUCCUGGCUCCUCAACCAUGCACUGCAUUUCACUCACGCUUUCCACCUAAUGGGAUAAGAUGCACGUUCUCCGCCCCCCUUUCCUCGCUGAAAUAGAAUCAAGGUUACAAAAGUACGAUCUCUUGCAACCCUUAGGAUAGAAACUUAUUCAGGAACAGCAGAAGAACCGGAGGUCUAUCCAGGCCUGCCUCUGUGCUUCUGUUAUUCGGGAAAGUUUACAGUCCUUUAAACACACAAGAGGUGCAAAGUAUAUGUCAACUUUCUUGAUGGACAGCAAAUCAUGCUUUGGAGAUCUCUUGGUUCAGUUCUCGUAACUGGGUUUUUUCCUAAGCAUUGGAUUGGGGGCAUGGUUUUUUUUCCCAAAAUAUGGCUGUGACUAUUUCCUCAAAGGCCGAAGAAUCAGAACCUUUGUUUACUAUGCAGCUACAAUGGAAAUCAAUAUAGCAGAUGGCAAACUGUUUUUUAAAAGUGGAAUCUUUUAAAUAUUCUCUGCAUGAACCCUAGCAGAAUCAGAAAUGUAAAAGUAACUGCUGUCUCUCUUGCCUUUACAUUAUUCAUUUUUACACAUUUUAUAUUAAGCCUUGAUGGCAUAUAAAAACCUAAAUCAACAUAAUUUGUCACAGGCAAAUGAAUCUUUUCAGAGUUUUCCUCUUAAGGUGCUACAGACGAUUGAUUCCCCUCCUCACUAUCGCUCAAAUGGGCAUUAUAUGCAUAUAUUGCAAAUUGUCUCUACCUAUGUACUUGAAUAAAUGCAUCUUUGAUGCUCGUGUGCCUGC